AUGAGCUCUUCUCCAGGACCACUGCUUGUGCUGUUAUUAAUGUUUGGAGGAAGCAAGGGAGAUUCAGUGACCCAGAUGGAAGGCCAAAUGACCCUCUCAGAGCGGGCUUCUCUGACUGUUAACUGCUCUUAUGAAACCACACAGUACCCUGCCCUUUUCUGGUGUGUCCAGGAUCCCGGAGAAGGUCCACAGCUCCUCCUGAAAGCCUUGAAAGCCAACGAGAAGGGAAGCAGCAAAGGUUUUGAAGCCACCUACCACAAAGAACCAAAUUCUUUCCACUUGAAGAAAUCCUCAGUGCAAGUGUCAGAUUCGGCUGUGUACUACUGUGCCCUGAGGGACACAGUGACAGGGACUGCAGAGGGAGCUAAGCGUAAACUCUGAGCAAAACAGGGGCCCAGAUGCUGAGCGUCUGAGCUUAUCCUAAACUCUGGUUUAGGAAACAGAAGAGAGUCUACUGUGUUGUCACCCACUGUUCACCCCAGGUGCUUUUGUUGGUGUGACAGUCAUCCAAAUUAACUCUGAGAACACGGCGGAAAAACAAGAAGUGAACAGGCCUUC